UCCUAGGUGGCUCAGUGGUGAAGAAUCUGCCUACCAAGCAGGAGACACAGGUUUGAUCCCUGGGUUGGGAA
rfam:Ovis aries breed Texel chromosome 14, whole genome shotgun sequence.